rnacentral:rRNA from 1 species
GUAUUAGUUACGUUCUUGAAACUUAAAAAAUUUUGGCGGUAUUUUAUCUCUUCUCAGAGGAACCUGUCCUUUAAUUGAUAUUCCACGAUUUUACUUACUUAUAUUUGUAUACAAUUUUUAUAUCUCCGUCAUAAGAAGAUUUUUGUAGGAAGAAUUUUCUUUAUUAUUAAAUGUAGAAAUGUCAGGUCAAGGUGAGAUUUAUGUAUAAGUAGAGAUGGGUUACAAUAAAUUUAUUUAUACGGAUGGUCUGUUUUAUAUUUGAUUUGAAGGAGGAUUUGAUAGUAAAUUUAUUUUUUUGGUUUUUUGAUAUUAGCUCUGAAAUGUGCACACAUCGCC